UCCCUGGUGGUCCAGUGGUUAGGACUUCAUGCUUCCACUGCUGGGGACCCAGGUUUGAUCCCUGGUCAGGGAA